GAUGAACGCUGGCGGCGUGCCUAAUACAUGCAAGUCGAGCGAACAGAUAAGGAGCUUGCUCCUUUGACGUUAGCGGCGGACGGGUGAGUAACACGUGGGUAACUACCUUUUAAGACGGAAAUACCCCGGGGAAACGGGGCUUAAUGCGGGAUAACAUUUAGAACGGCUGGUUUCUAAGUGAAAAGAUGGUUUUCCUAUAACUAUUAGAGGACCCCGCGCCGUAUUAGUUAGUUGGUAAGUUAACGGCUUACCAAGGCAACGAUACGUAGCCGACCUGAGAGGGUGAUCGGCCACACUGGAACUGAGACACGGUCCAGACUCCUACGGGAGGCAGCAGUAGGGAAUCUUCCGCAAAGGGCGAAAGCCUGACGGAGCAACGCCGCGUGAGUGAUGAAGGUCUUCGGAUCGUAAAACUCUGUUAUUAGGGAAGAACAAAUGUGUAAGUAACUGUGCACGUCUUGACGGUACCUAAUCAGAAAGCCACGGCUAACUACGUG
rnacentral:rRNA from 1 species